CCUACGGGCGGCAGCAGUGAGGAAUAUUGGUCAAUGGGCGAGAGCCUGAACCAGCCAAGUAGCGUGCAGGAUGACGGCCCUAUGGGUUGUAAACUGCUUUUAUACGGGGGUAAAGUCAUCCACGUGUGGAUGUUUGCAAGUACCGUAAGAAAAAGGAUCGGCUAAUUCCGUGCCAGCAGCCGCGGUAAUACGGAAGAUCCGAGCGUUAUCCGGAUUUAUUGGGUUUAAAGGGAGCGUAGGCGGACGAGCAAGUCAGUUGUGAAAGUUUGCGGCUCAACCGUAAAAUUGCAGUUGAAACUGUUUGUCUUGAGUUCACAUAAGGAUGGUGGAAUUUGUGGUGUAGCGGUGAAAUGCAUAGAUAUCACGAAGAACUCCGAUUGCGAAGGCAGCUGACAAGGCUACAACUGACGCUAAAGCUCGAAAGUGCGGGUAUCGAACAGGAUUAGAUACCCCGGUAGUC
rnacentral:rRNA from 1 species